rnacentral:rRNA from 1 species
AUGGCCGCCUCUGCCUCUUGCAUUUCUCUGGUGGUGCUGCUCGUGGCUCUGGCCACGGCGGCGUCAGGCCAGCUAUCGCCAACGUUCUAUGACACGUCGUGCCCCAGGGCACUGGCCACCAUCAAGAGCGGUGUGGCGGCCGCCGUAAGCAGCGACCCCCGCAUGGGCGCGUCCCUGCUCCGGCUGCACUUCCACGACUGCUUCGUCCAAGGCUGCGACGCGUCUGUUCUGCUGUCUGGCAUGGAACAAAACGCGGGUCCGAACUUUAUGUCGCUGCGAGGCUUCGGCGUCAUCGAUAGCAUCAAGGCUCAGCUCGAGGGUAUAUGCAGCCAGACAGUCUCCUGCGCCGACAUCCUCACUGUCGCGGCCCGUGACACCAUC